AUUGAACGCUGGCGGCAGGCCUAACACAUGCAAGUCGAGCGAGCGGCGGAAGGGUGAGUAAUGUCUGGGAAACAGCCUGAUGGAGGGGGAUAACUACUGGAAACGGUAGCUAAUACCGCAUAACAUCAGAUGUGCCCAGAUGGGAUGAGCUAGUAGGUGGGGUAACGGCUCACCUAGGCGACGAUCCCUAGCUGGUCUGAGAGGAUGACCAGCCACACUGGAACGGAGACACGGUCCAGACUCCGACGGGAGGCAGCAGUGGGGAAUAUUGCACAAGGGGCUCAAGCCUGAGGAAGCCAGGCGGCGUGUGUGAAGAAGGCCUUGGGUUUGUAAAGUACUUUAAGCGGGGAGGCGUUACCCGCAUAAGAAGCACCGGCUAACUCCGUGCCAGCAGCCGCGGUAAUUC
rnacentral:rRNA from 1 species